rnacentral:rRNA from 1 species
UUACAACCCUGGAAACCGUGAUAAGGGGACACCGAGUGCCAGCAUCAUAUGCUGGCUGUCCAGGUGUGUAAAAUACACCUGUUAGCAAGGGCCGGGCAAGACCGGUGCCAGCCGCCGCGGUAACACCGGCGGCCCGAGUGGUGAUCGUGAUUAUUGGGUCUAAAGGGUCCGUAGCCGGUUUGGUCAGUCCUCCGGGAAAUCUGACGGCUCAACCGUUAGGCUUUCGGGGGAUACUGCCAGGCUUGGAACCGGGAGAGGUAAGAGGUACUACAGGGGUAGGAGUGAAAUCUUGUAAUCCCUGUGAGACCACCUGUGGCGAGGGCGUCUUACCAGAACGGGUUCGACGGUGAGGGACGAAAGCUGGGGGCACGAACCGGAUUAGAUACCCGGGUAGUCCCAGCCGUAAACGAUGCUCGCUAGGUGUCAGGCAUGGCGCGACCGUGUCUGGUGCCGCAGGGAAGCCGUGAAGCGAGCCACCUGGGAAGUACGGCCGCAAGGCUGAAACUUAAAGGAAUUGGCGGGGGAGCAC